UUUUUUUUGCGUGGACGUUGUGUGCCAUUGGUAUUUUUGUUGCAUCCUUGGGCAUUGUAAUCAUUUGUUCCUUGAGUGGAUAUUAUGGGGAAAAAAAACUUCAAUUGCAACAAAAAUUUAAGAUCAGGUUCAAUAUGUUGGCCUCCAAUGUUUGAGUAGAAAAUGUAAUAGAAAUGCACAAAGGGGAGUUCCAAAGGGCCUUUCUCAGUUUCUCUUUAGUGCAUCAUUUUACUCUUUUUUUUUGCCUGCACUUAAAACAAGAGUAAAAUGAUGCACUAAAGAGAA
rnacentral:misc_RNA from 1 species